CUAGUGGUAAUCUCGCACUUGGAGCACCCGUACGAGUACCUGGUUACUCUGGUUUGUUUGCUUCGGGAAGGUCUGAGAUAAGGCAUGCGAAUAUGCCUCAGCAAGGCAGCUCUUUGAGAAGGGCGUUCGCUACCAGCAAUACAUCAGUUGUGGAUGACGCAGUGUUUUACUCCAUUAUCGGUAGGCUAAAAACCAAUCCGGUGUUGGGUUAGAUACUGAUUGAAACCAGCGGAUUGCCAGCCAUUUAAGUCAAAUAUGCGAGCUACUGGCCUCUCCCUUCUUGCGAGGGGGUGGUUGGUAGAACUCAAUUCAGACUAAUCUAUCACUAG
rnacentral:RNase_P_RNA from 1 species